rnacentral:rRNA from 1 species
AUUGAACGCUGGCGGCAGGCCUAACACAUGCAAGUCGAACGAGUGGCGGAAGGGUGAGUAAUGUCUGGGAAACUGCCUGAUGGAGGGGGAUAACUACUGGAAACGGUAGCUAAUACCGCAUACCAUCAGAUGUGCCCAGAUGGGAUUAGCUUGUUGGGGGGGUAAAGGCUAACCAAGGCGACGAUCCCUAGCUGGUCUGAGAGGAUGACCAGCCACACUGGAACAGAGACACGGUCCAGACUCCUACGGGAGGCAGCAGUGGGGAAUAUUGCACAAUAGGCGGAAGCCUGAUGAGGCCAUGCCGCAUGUAUGAAGAAGGCCUUCGGGUUGUAAAGUACUUUCAGCUGGGAGGCGUUACCCAAAGAAGAAGCACCGGCUAACUCCGUGCCAGCAGCCGCGGUAAUUC